GUGCUCACUUCGGCAACACAUAUACUAAAAUUGGAAUGAUGCAGAGUAGAUUAGUGUGGCCCCUGUGUAAGGAUGCCAUGCAAAUUCGUGAAGCAUUCCAUAUUUUA